rnacentral:rRNA from 1 species
UUAAGCGACUAAGCGUACACGGUGGAUGCCUAGGCAGUCAGAGGCGAUGAAGGGCGUGCUAAUCUGCGAAAAGCGUCGGUAAGCUGAUAUGAAGCGUUAUAACCGACGAUACCCGAAUGGGGAAACCCAGUGCAAUACGUUGCACUAUCGUUAGAUGAAUACAUAGUCUAACGAGGCGAACCGGGGGAACUGAAACAUCUAAGUACCCCGAGGAAAAGAAAUCAACCGAGAUUCCCCCAGUAGCGGCGAGCGAACGGGGAGGAGCCCAGAGUCUGAAUCAGUUUGUGUGUUAGUGGAAGCGUCUGGAAAGUCGCACGGUACAGGGUGAUAGUCCCGUACACCAAAAUGCACAGGCUGUGAACUCGAUGAGUAGGGCGGGACACGUGACAUCCUGUCUGAAUAUGGGGGGACCAUCCUCCAAGGCUAAAUACUCCUGACUGACCGAUAGUGAACCAGUACCGUGAGGGAAAGGCGAAAAGAACCCCGGCGAGGGGAGUGAAAUAGAACCUGAAACCGUGUACGUACAAGCAGUGGGAGCACCUUCGUGGUGUGACUGCGUACCUUUUGUAUAAUGGGUCAGCGACUUAUAUUUUGUAGCAAGGUUAACCGAAUAGGGGAGCCGUAGGGAAACCGAGUCUUAACUGGGCGUCUAGUUGCAAGGUAUAGACCCGAAACCCGGUGAUCUAGCCAUGGGCAGGUUGAAGGUUGGGUAACACUAACUGGAGGACCGAACCGACUAAUGUUGAAAAAUUAGCGGAUGACUUGUGGCUGGGGGUGAAAGGCCAAUCAAACCGGGAGAUAGCUGGUUCUCCCCGAAAGCUAUUUAGGUAGCGCCUCGUGAACUCAUCUUCGGGGGUAGAGCACUGUUUCGGCUAGGGGGCCAUCCCGGCUUACCAAACCGAUGCAAACUCCGAAUACCGAAGAAUGUUAUCACGGGAGACACACGGCGGGUGCUAACGUCCGUCGUGAAGAGGGAAACAACCCAGACCGCCAGCUAAGGUCCCAAAGUCAUGGUUAAGUGGGAAACGAUGUGGGAAGGCACAGACAGCCAGGAUGUUGGCUUAGAAGCAGCCAUCAUUUAAAGAAAGCGUAAUAGCUCACUGGUCGAGUCGGCCUGCGCGGAAGAUGUAACGGGGCUAAACCAUGCACCGAAGCUGCGGCAGCGACGUUUAGGCGUUGUUGGGUAGGGGAGCGUUCUGUAAGCCGUUGAAGGUGACCUGUGAGGGUUGCUGGAGGUAUCAGAAGUGCGAAUGCUGACAUAAGUAACGAUAAUGCGGGUGAAAAACCCGCACGCCGGAAGACCAAGGGUUCCUGUCCAACGUUAAUCGGGGCAGGGUGAGUCGACCCCUAAGGCGAGGCUGAAAAGCGUAGUCGAUGGGAAACAGGUUAAUAUUCCUGUACUUGGUGUUACUGCGAAGGGGGGACGGAGAAGGCUAGGCUGGCCGGGCGACGGUUGUCCCGGUUUAAGCGUGUAGGGGGAGUGACCAGGUAAAUCCGGUUGCUUAUCAACCCUGAGGCGUGAUGACGAUGCACCACGGUGCAGAAGCAGUUGAUGCCAUGCUUCCAGGAAAAGCCUCUAAGCAUCAGGUAACAUUAAAUCGUACCCCAAACCGACACAGGUGGUCAGGUAGAGAAUACUCAGGCGCUUGAGAGAACUCGGGUGAAGGAACUAGGCAAAAUGGUGCCGUAACUUCGGGAGAAGGCACGCUGGCGUUAGGUGAAAGGACUAGCUCCUGGAGCUGAAGCCAGUCGCAGAUACCAGCUGGCUGCAACUGUUUAAUAAAAACACAGCACUGUGCAAACACGAAAGUGGACGUAUACGGUGUGACGCCUGCCCGGUGCUGGAAGGUUAAUUGAUGGGGUCAGCCGCAAGGGGAAGCUCUUGAUCGAAGCCCCAGUAAACGGCGGCCGUAACUAUAACGGUCCUAAGGUAGCGAAAUUCCUUGUCGGGUAAGUUCCGACCUGCACGAAUGGCGUAAUGAUGGCCAGGCUGUCUCCACCCGAGACUCAGUGAAAUUGAACUCGCUGUGAAGAUGCAGUGUACCCGCGGCAAGACGGAAAGACCCCGUGAACCUUUACUAUAGCUUGACACUGAACAUUGAGCCUUGAUGUGUAGGAUAGGUGGGAGGCCUUGAAGUGUGGACGCCAGUCUGCAUGGAGCCAACCUUGAAAUACCACCCUUUAAUGUUUGAUGUUCUAACUCGGCCCCAUGAUCUGGGGUGAGGACAGUGUCUGGUGGGUAGUUUGACUGGGGCGGUCUCCUCCCAAAGAGUAACGGAGGAGCACGAAGGUUAGCUAAUCACGGUCGGACAUCGUGAGGUUAGUGCAAAGGCAUAAGCUAGCUUGACUGCGAGAGUGACGGCUCGAGCAGGUACGAAAGUAGGUCUUAGUGAUCCGGUGGUUCUGAAUGGAAGGGCCAUCGCUCAACGGAUAAAAGGUACUCCGGGGAUAACAGGCUGAUACCGCCCAAGAGUUCAUAUCGACGGCGGUGUUUGGCACCUCGAUGUCGGCUCAUCACAUCCUGGGGCUGAAGUAGGUCCCAAGGGUAUGGCUGUUCGCCAUUUAAAGUGGUACGCGAGCUGGGUUUAGAACGUCGUGAGACAGUUCGGUCCCUAUCUGCCGUGGGCGUUGGAAGAUUGAGAGGGGCUGCUCCUAGUACGAGAGGACCGGAGUGGACGAAUCACUGGUGUUCGGGUUGUCAUGCCAAUGGCAUUGCCCGGUAGCUAAAUUCGGAAGAGAUAACCGCUGAAAGCAUCUAAGCGGGAAACUUGCCUCGAGAUGAGUCUUCCCUGGGGCUUAAAGCCCCCUGAAGGAACGUUAAAGACUAUGACGUUGAUAGGCUGGGUGUGUAAGUGCAGCGAUGUAUUGAGCUAACCAGUACUAAUGAUCCGUGAGGCUUAACCUU